ACAGCAGCAGCCGCGGGAAUACGAAGGGGGCUAGCGUUGCUCGGAAUCACUGGGCGUAAAGGGUGCGUAGGCGGGUCUUUAAGUCAGGGGUGAAAUCCUGGAGCUCAACUCCAGAACUGCCUUUGAUACUGAAGAUCUUGAGUUCGGGAGAGGUGAGUGGAACUGCGAGUGUAGAGGUGAAAUUCGUAGAUAUUCGCAAGAACACCAGUGGCGAAAGCACUCUGCUGGGCCGACACUGACACUGAGAGACGAAAGCUAGGGGAGCAAAUGGGAUUAGAUACCCCAGUAGUCCCUGUCUCUUAUAC
rnacentral:rRNA from 1 species